UACGUAGGGCGCGAGCGUUUGUCCGGAAUUAUUGGGCGUAAAGAGCUCGUAGGCGGCCUGUUGCGUCCGCUGUGAAAUCCCGGGGCUUAACCCCGGGCUUGCAGUGGAUACGGGCAGGCUGGAGGCAGGCAGGGGAGAACGGAAUUCCCGGUGUAGCGGUGAAAUGCGCAGAUAUCGGGAGGAACACCGGUGGCGAAGGCGGUUCUCUGGGCCUGUACUGACGCUGAGGAGCGAAAGCGUGGGGAGCGAACAGG
rnacentral:rRNA from 1 species